GACGAACGCUGGCGGCGUGCCUAAUACAUGCAAGUCGAACGAACUCUGGUAUUGAUUGGUGCUUGCAUCAUGAUUUACAUUUGAGUGAGUGGCGAACUGGUGAGUAACACGUGGGAAACCUGCCCAGAAGCGGGGGAUAACACCUGGAAACAGAUGCUAAUACCGCAUAACAACUUGGACCGCAUGGUCCGAGNUUGAAAGAUGGCUUCGGCUAUCACUUUUGGAUGGUCCCGCGGCGUAUUAGCUAGAUGGUGGGGUAACGGCUCACCAUGGCAAUGAUACGUAGCCGACCUGAGAGGGUAAUCGGCCACAUUGGGACUGAGACACGGCCCAAACUCCUACGGGAGGCAGCAGUAGGGAAUCUUCCACAAUGGACGAAAGUCUGAUGGAGCAACGCCGCGUGAGUGAAGAAGGGUUUCGGCUCGUAAAACUCUGUUGUUAAAGAAGAACAUAUCUGAGAGUAACUGUUCAGGUAUUGACGGUAUUUAACCAGAAAGCCACGGCUAACUACGUGCCAGCAGCCGCGGUAAUACGUAGGUGGCAAGCGUUGUCCGGAUUUAUUGGGCGUAAAGCGAGCGCAGGCGGUUUUUUAAGUCUGAUGUGAAAGCCUUCGGCUCAACCGAAGAAGUGCAUCGGAAACUGGGAAACUUGAGUGCAGAAGAGGACAGUGGAACUCCAUGUGUAGCGGUGAAAUGCGUAGAUAUAUGGAAGAACACCAGUGGCGAAGGCGGCUGUCUGGUCUGUAACUGACGCUGAGGCUCGAAAGUAUGGGUAGCAAACAGGAUUAGAUACCCUGGUAGUCCAUACCGUAAACGAUGAAUGCUAAGUGUUGGAGGGUUUCCGCCCUUCAGUGCUGCAGCUAACGCAUUAAGCAUUCCGCCUGGGGAGUACGGCCGCAAGGNUGAAACUCAAAGGAAUUGACGGGGGCCCGCACAAGCGGUGGAGCAUGUGGUUUAAUUCGAAGCUACGCGAAGAACCUUACCAGGUCUUGACAUACUAUGCAAAUCUAAGAGAUUAGACGUUCCCUUCGGGGACAUGGAUACAGGUGGUGCAUGGUUGUCGUCAGCUCGUGUCGUGAGAUGUUGGGUUAAGUCCCGCAACGAGCGCAACCCUUAUUAUCAGUUGCCAGCAUUAAGUUGGGCACUCUGGUGAGACUGCCGGUGACAAACCGGAGGAAGGUGGGGAUGACGUCAAAUCAUCAUGCCCCUUAUGACCUGGGCUACACACGUGCUACAAUGGAUGGUACAACGAGUUGCGAACUCGCGAGAGUAAGCUAAUCUCUUAAAGCCAUUCUCAGUUCGGAUUGUAGGCUGCAACUCGCCUACAUGAAGUCGGAAUCGCUAGUAAUCGCGGAUCAGCAUGCCGCGGUGAAUACGUUCCCGGGCCUUGUACACACCGCCCGUCACACCAUGAGAGUUUGUAACACCCAAAGUCGGUGGGGUAACCUUUUAGGAACCAGCCGCCUAAGGNGGGACAGANGAUUAGGGUGAAG
rnacentral:rRNA from 1 species